rnacentral:rRNA from 1 species
AUUGAACGCUGGCGGCAGGCCUAACACAUGCAAGUCGAGCGGAUGAAGGGAGCUUGCUCCUGGAUUCAGCGGCGGACGGGUGAGUAAUGCCUAGGAAUCUGCCUGGUAGUGGGGGAUAACGUCCGGAAACGGGCGCUAAUACCGCAUACGUCCUGAGGGAGAAAGUGGGGGAUCUUCUGACCUCACGCUAUCAGAUGAGCCUAGGUCGGAUUAGCUAGUUGGUGGGGUAAAGGCUUACCAAGGCGACGAUCCGUAACUGGUCUGAGAGGAUGAUCAGUCACACUGGAACUGAGACACGGUACAGACUCCUACGGGAGGCAGCAGUGGGGAAUAUUGGACAAUGGGCGAAAGACUGAUCAAGCCAUGCCGAGUGUGUGAAGAAGGUCUUCGGAUUGUAAAGCACUUUAAGUUGGGAGGAAGGGCAGUAAGUUAAUACCUUGCUGUUUUGAAGUUACCAACAGAAUAAGCACCGGCUAACUUAGUG